CGAGGGAAGCCGGGUGGCAAGGUCGCCGCCAACCCCGUCAGGCCUGAGAAGGAGCAGCGGUAACGGUUGGUCUUGGGUGCUCGGUUUCCCUAGAAG
rnacentral:SRP_RNA from 1 species